UUCAAAGUCUGAAAUCCUCUUUCAUUGGAAAUUCGGAAAGAAUUGAUAUAGAAAAAAGGAAAAUGCUUAAUGACAAUGCUAUUCACUUUUUUCAACGAUUAAUAUCGAUUCAGUUAAAUGUUGAUGUUGGUUUGCAGGAUCCUAUUAAAGGAAAAGUUAUUUCUUUUGAUAUCUAUCAGAGCAUUCUGUUUGUACAAAUCCUCCAUGAUGGAAAUUUACACUGGAUUUGUGUUACCACAUAUGAUUGCAAGCCUGGUGAGGUAUACAUUUUUGAUAGCCUUUUCCAUGGUUCAAUAAGUAUUGAAACAAAAAGGCAAAUAUGCUCUAUUUUACAUUGUCAAAAAAAAAACUUGUGAUAAAGGUUUUACCAACUCAACAGCAAACUAACGGUGUAGAUUGUGGUCUGUAUUCUAUUGCCUGGGCACGCCAGAUACUUGAAACAAAGUGUAUUCCAUUAGUUAGUUUAAUGUUUGAACAAAGUGCAAUGAGGAAUCAUCUUCUAAAGUGUUUGCUAAACAACCGAUUAGAUGUCUUCCCAACUGCCAUUAAUCCUUCAAUAUCUAAAAGAUGCCUAGCAAAGACUUUUUAUCUUCUUUUACUCAUGUAGAAUGUUUUGGACCCUAGAAGAUGAGCACAUUUUUAACAGGCAAAUGCCUGAAUGCAGUACUUGUUGUAAAUGGUUUCAUCGGGAGUGUGAGAAAAUCCCACCAACUGCAUAUGAGAAGGAUGAUGUAAUCUGGAACCGUCAUGAGUGCCACAGGCAAGCAUCGCAAAGAUAAAGAUUUGUUUAUCAACGCCACCUGGUAACAUUUACAGCUCAAAAUCAAUUUUUGGAGAAAAUAUUUGAAGAAAAUAAUGAAGAAAGUAACUAUAAAAUGUGUACUUUCAGUGUAAGUUAUUAUAUGUAUAUUUUUUACUGUAUUGACAUUUAAAGGAUGCACAAGCCACCUCAGUCAGCUUUGGUGGGGUGUUAACUCAUCUGUAAGUUUUUUUUUUUAAUGUCUGUUUGUGUUUUGUUUAAACUAAUGGCACAGAGUUAACUCAGCCAUAAAUUACUUAAUGUCUGCUUGUGUUCUGUUUGAACCUCUGGCGCGGUGUUAACUCACCCGUAAGUUACUUUAUGUCUUUUUGUGCUCUGUUUGAGCCUCUGGCGCGGUGUUAACUCACCCGUAAGUUACUUUAUGUCUGUUUGUGUUAUCUAUAAUUAUAUGGAAUAGUGUUAACUCAGCCGUCAGUUAUUUUAUGUAUAUAUGUGUUCUAUAUGAUUGUGUAUAUUAUCUGGUGUAGUGUUAGUUUAGUGAUUAACUAGUGAAUACAACAAUAUAAUAGAUUGUUUACCCUAACUUACAUUUUUCUUCUAGAUAAAAUGUUUUUCUAAUGAAUAUUUAAAAUCUCCUAAGUAAUGUGAUGGAGUACAGAAGUAACUUACUCUAGCAAUGCAGUUCUUGUUGCUGAAAAAGGAACUUAAUUUUUUUUUAUUUAUAUUUUUUUUUAACUGAAAUUUUAGGUUGAUUUUUUGUGCAACUAAAAUAAUAUUCAUGGGGCAAAAUAAGCAACUUGCACAUUUUCAUUUUUGGAAUAGAAAAUUACUUUUUAAAACUAUGGACUACUUUAAUUAAAACUAUUACUGAACUAUUUAAAGUGCAUUUUUGAACAUAAGAAGUGCGGAUAUAUACAACAUAUACAACAUUCUGAUUUAGGUGCUCUCCGUGGUACACUAUAAAUAAAAUAAGAAUACAUUAAAGUAUAUUCAAUAAUAUGUAUAUAAAUAAAUAGAUAGAGAUUGUUUUUUUUUCAACCUCUUUAACCACUAUAACAGUUGAAAGUUACUGGAAGAGAAAAGAUGAAGUUUGUAGAUCCAGAUAACGAUUGACAGAUGACUUAAAAGAGUAUAUAAUAUGAAUCAGGAUAAGAAGACGAUGAAGGAAGUGAGUUCCAAAGAGCUGAUGUUCGAGGAAAAAAAAUAGAGGAAUACGAGUUUUUGGAGCACUUAAGAUAAGUCACAUAAAAAGAAUGAGACUUAAGAGACGAGAAUGAGACAAUUAAAACACAAGAAUGAUAGCAAGUGGCACAAGGUGCGCUAGCUCUUUAGAAAAGUGCCCGUUAUAGUAUUUGUAGAAAAGAGAAAGAGAGGCAACAUGAUGAUGUGACAAUGGUUGGAGGUUGGCUGCAAGAGCAUCCAAUUAAGUUUAUAAUACGUUUUUGUACCUUGUAUAAAA
rnacentral:lncRNA from 1 species